rnacentral:lncRNA from 1 species
AAUGUCGAGGCGCGCGCUGUUGUCAUGGUAAAGCAAAUUUUUCCAUGAAAGAAAGCUUGGACAGAAAAUACGCUUGGUAAAUCAGUCUUCUAAAAGCUGCUGGAGAUCUCUAAGGGACGUACCCAGGGCCUGCAAUAUUAUGGGUCAAUACUUCAUGAAACAGAAGGUUAAAUUUCAACUGGGAUGAUAAAUCAAAAGAAACUGUUUAUUGAAUGAGAAAUAAGCUCCCACUCUAGGAUGAGAUGCAUCAUUGAGGAGCAGCCCCCUGGUUUUGGUGACAGAACUCCUACUGAAGGACAGUGCCCUGAGGAUGCUGUGGUGAGAUGAUGUCUUGCUGAAUUGCCGAGGCUGGAGUGCAAUGGCUGUUCAUACGUACGAUCAUCAUAGUGCACUACAGCCUGGAACUUCUGGUCUCAAAUGAUCCUCCCACAUCAGUCUCUUGAGUAGCUGGGACUACAGGAAAUGUAUCUGUAUCAGAAAUCAUCCAGAAAAAAAAUUGCUGGCAGUCAAUGUAACUGAGCAGCAAGAAUAUGGUUUGCAUCAUCUAGGCAUUGAGGAGAAUAAUAAAUGAAAUCCUCAGAAUUCUUUUUAAAAGUUAGAGCAUAGUUUGUUAUGAUGUAGAAGCUAACUGAUACAGACUUUUAGAGACCUAUCCAGUUCAUUUACCUUGUUUUGGAGAUCAGAGAGAUGUUGAAAUUCAGAGAUAAAAUGAUACCCAAGGUCACUUAUCAGCCAAUUUGAAAAGAAAAAUUUCCUACAAAUAGACCCUAGUUAAAAUUUACUCAAUCAUUUUUGUUUGCAAGUAUUAGUUAUUAUAUGGGUUUCAGAUAAUUAUAAAGGAAUAUUACUAAGACAUUAAAGAACAAAAUAUUCACAUUAGCAAAACUAGCCUUAAAACUGUUUGAAGAGUAAAAGGUAACUCAGAAGCCAGAAGAUAUUAAAAUAUUCUGAUUGGACCUAUUGCUGCAAUGAAUGGCAAGCUGGUACAGUUAAGCGGAAAUCCAUUCAGGUAACCAAAAAAAAAAAAAAAAAAAAAAAAAAAAAGACA